rnacentral:tRNA from 1 species
AGAAAUAAAUUUAAAAGAAGCUUCUAACUUCUUUCUUUAGCAUAAAAUGUUAUUAUUUC